GAGGCUUCCGCCCCAGUUGUGUCCAGCUUCCGCGGCACGUGUCGGGCUUAUGGGUGGGAGCCGUUUGGGAGGCUCUGGGCUCGGGGGUGUCCCUCCUGCCGGGCCGCUCUCGUCGCCGACGCGGGCGAUGCAGCCUGGACGGCGCGAGGAAGGCCCCGGAGAGGCGCCGCUUCCGGUGCAUUGUGAGGUCCCGCCGUUCUCUCCGCCCGAGGUCGCGGCGGCUGCGCUUCCUCUCGGACCGCGUCGGUGGAGGCGCUUGGAGGGGACCGAGGCGCCCACGCGUGCCCCGGGUGCCAGCCGAGCGCUGGGCUCAGCAUGGGCACACUGGGUUGUAACAGAACGUCUAGUGGGACUAGCGUUCUAGGACUAAUGAGCGGCUCAGUGGGAAAAGCACAGGAUCCAAACCCCAUUUGUCACAUGCGGCUUGCCGGCACUUGAAAUGAGGCUAGUUCAUUUAAGAUAAGCUUCAUCACAAACUGUGCCUGGACCAGGAGCAGGAGAGGAUUACAGCUGCGAACCGACUCUCCCGGGGACUUUGACACAGUGAGCAAGCAGGCCCUUCCGAGUCACAACCUUGGGCUAAGUUCCUGAAAAUAGCUGUUCUUGUAUUUACCAUAUGACCAAAACUUGAUUAAACCUCAUGCAAACUGAUAAAAAAAGAAAAAAUACCUUUAAAGUUCAUGGCAAAGUCACAAGAAAUGCCUGCUAAGUACUCAGCAAAUCCUUUUUUGUGGAAUAAGUUGUUUAUAUUUCUCUUUCAAGGGUAUGUUUUGAAAGCUCUGUGUAAAUAUGUAAUAGGAUAAACUUGCUGUGGAGUUAGGGAACCGAGCAGCUUUUUCCUGCCCAGUCUCAAUUCUGGACUCUGAAUGUCCUCCGGAAAAGAUUAUGGCAUGGCUAGCACCUGAAGCAGAACAGAAAGGCGGGGCAGUGAUCUAGUCCCUGGGGGUCUUGCCAACUGACUCAGAAGCCAGGACACUGUACAGCACAGGGAAUAGAGCCAAUAUUUUAUAAUAACUACAA